GCCAAGGCAGCAAGGCACCAAGACAGCGCUUUCCCUUCCUUCUUCUCCAAGUCCAACACGCACCAGAUGCUCCUUUCCAUUUUCAGCUUCGUCUAUUCUUUUCUCUCACCUGGAGGAGGAUCGCGAGGCGGCCGAAGAAGAAAUAUAAGAUAAAGGGGGAGAACGGUGUGGUUCUGAGGGGGGAGAAUCUUGAGCGAUUUUGGCAAAGGAAAGCUCGAAUAACCUCUCUUUCUGAUGCAUUAGAGGUAGAUCCCCCUUUAUUAGCUCUAGGGAUCAGCAAUAUCGUCUCCUUUGUGAACCUGGGAAUUGUUCACUAGUACUGCGGGAGGGGAUCAGCCCUAAAGUCCCCUUUCAAGAGGCGGCAUCCAUUGCUGAAAGCCUCUACGGUAUCAUCAAACAUAAUGGUCCACUCACUGUCAGCAACACUUGGAAUCACGCCAAGGCUAGUUUCAGGUUGUGUCGCCGUCGCUCACCGUAUUUACAUUAACAUCGCCGAAGUAGGAGUUCACUUCCAAACGAGGUCGAGGACUGGAAAGUACUUGCUUCUUUAGGUUAGGGUUUCAACUUUUAUCUUUGAUGCAAGAGAAGGACAGUGGCGAUCUGCUUCGCUUUCUCUUUCCGAGAACGAAUCAUCGCCGCCGGUGAGUAUGCCUUUCGUACCAGCUCCGCCGAUCGUAAAUAGGGCGGUUAUUAACACUUGUUCAAACGCCGUAAUGAGCACAGGAGUCACAUCCAUAGUCAGCAGCGGCGAUCUGAGUAGGAAGAAGAAGAGAGGACGGCCAAGGAAGUACUACGCCAACGUUAAUUUGAUGAUUCCGGUUGUGUCGCCGUCGCUCACCGGAUUUACAUUAACAUCGCCGAAGUCGGAGUUCACUUCCAAACGAGGUCGAGGACUGGAAAGUACUUGCUUCUUUAGGGGAAUUAUUCACUAGUACUGCGGGAGUGGAUUUUACUCUGCAUGUGAUGACUGUUUACGGAGGAGAGGAUAUCGCAUCAAAGAUAAUUUUAUUUUCACAAAAUGUUCACGAGGGAUUUGGCCAACGGUUUUGUGACAAAUAAGGACUGCAACCUUCUAGCUCUAGGAAGGUUGCUAACUGCUUUGGUUUGUGAAUAUUUAGACUGGGCACAACUUAACCAUACAUUAAAGGUUUACUUGCCAGAGUGUAAUUUGGAAACAAACUCAUACAAAAUGCUUUAUCUUUGAUCCAAUUUUUGACGGUGUUAUUUAUAUCUCUCUCGCGACAGUUAGAUAAACAAAAGGAAAAUGAAAGAGACAUCCAACUCUUCGCCAUACCGGCGGCACCUGGACGACGACGUUGAGGCUGGGAACAACGCCUAUGUUCACGAGGAGGAUCACAAGGAAACGACGUGUAGUCCUUUCGAUAUCUACUGGACAAAUGAUGCUUCCGUUGACAGGCUCAAGAAAUGGCGGAUUCUAUUACAGCCAGAUCCAUUUCUCAAUGAGCUUACCAGUAUGUUUGAGCGCAAUACAAAGACAAAAUCCGUUUGGGUUACUCUAAAGCGCUCUGUACAGGAAUGUUGUGGAAAUUUAGAGGGGAGAGGGGAUUUGUCCCGAUAAAUGCUCUGCUUUGAUGAGUAGAAUCCAGAGACUCACCAAGCACAUACUCGUUCCUCAAAAAGAAAAAUUCCUGCUUUGAAUGAUGUGCCGGGCCAUCAACGCAGUCUUUCUGCAGAUGAUGAUAAACUUGAGCUUCUAAGUGAUGGUUUCCUCUUAAAAAUUGAAAAUCAAAGAAUUCUUUGUCUUCUACAUUUUCAAAUUAAUUUAAACACAGACGGUCUUUGAGCAAGUGGACAGAUGAUCUAUCGUGCAAUAUGUUUUCUGUUCUAGUGAUCCUGUUUUUAUGUUCUCACCGUCAUCAUAUGUUUUGCUUGUAUUUUGUUCCAGGCAUGGGCCAGGCUCUGCAAAUGCCUGGCUCAGGACUUUGUACCUUAUAUGAGUGUUGUAAUGCCACCCCUGCUCCUAUCUGCUCAACUUAAACCUGAUGUUAGUAUUGCAUUAGCAGAUUCUAAUGAUGAAAUUGAUGAAUCUGAUGACGAAAGGUUUGGCAUUCUACCUUAUAAUUUCUUUUCAAAGGUUUAGUUUGAUAUUUGAAUAUGACUCUGUUACUGUCAUGGAGGAUCAUGUUGGACCUAAGAUCCUGUACUUGCAUCAAAGGCAGCAAACCAAGAGGAGCAAUUUUCUAUUUGUGGAGGAAGGCAAGUGGUGAAAAGAUGCCGAGGCCCCCAGCUGCCAAAAAAAUAAGAUCUCUUGCUUCCUAUAGGGGAUUUUACUUUUGCUGCAUAUGGAAACAAUAUUGCUGUUUUGAAACGUGCUCAUCAG